UCCUCGGUAGCUCAGUGGUAGAGCGUUCGACUGUUAAUCGAAUGGUCGUAGGUUCGAAUCCUACCCGGGGAGCCA
rnacentral:tRNA from 1 species